rnacentral:rRNA from 1 species
AGUGAACGCUGGCGGUAGGCCUAACACAUGCAAGUCGAACGGCAGCACAGUAAGAGCUUGCUCUUACGGGUGGCGAGUGGCGGACGGGUGAGGAAUACAUCGGAAUCUACUUUUUCGUGGGGGAUAACGUAGGGAAACUUACGCUAAUACCGCAUACGACCUACGGGUGAAAGCAGGGGAUCUUCGGACCUUGCGCGAUUGAAUGAGCCGAUGUCGGAUUAGCUAGUUGGCGGGGUAAAGGCCCACCAAGGCGACGAUCCGUAGCUGGUCUGAGAGGAUGAUCAGCCACACUGGAACUGAGACACGGUCCAGACUCCUACGGGAGGCAGCAGUGGGGAAUAUUGGGCAAUGGGCGCAAGCCUGAUCCAGCCAUGCCGCGUGGGUGAAGAAGGCCUUCGGGUUGUAAAGCCCUUUUGUUGGGAAAGAAAAGCAGCAGGUGAAUACCCCGCUGUUCUGACGGUACCCAAAGAAUAAGCACCGGCUAACUUCGUG